rnacentral:lncRNA from 1 species
ACACUGGCUAUUGUUUUCUGUGUCAUCCUUUACUGUGCUCCCUCCAGUAAGCGUCCAAGAGGUGGGGGAAGUUUCCCAUUUUUUUUUUUCAUGAAUUCGCAGUUAUCAGGCAAUUAUAAUAAUUUCAUUUUACUAGAAAGUAGGCCCAUGUAUAGAUGUGUGAAUGUCAGAAAAUAAGUCAUUUUAGACUGAGGAGGAGGACAUAAAAUUUCUUACGACACUGGCUCUGAAAUGGUUAAAUAGCAACACCUCCCAUAUUGCUGAAAAGAGGAUCCACGAUGUUAUGCUUUCAUCUCAGACUCCAUCAAAGCAGUGGCUCUCUUCACCACAGAGAAUGGUGCUAUCCUUUUGUUAUUAUUAACACAAGUCAAGGAAAAAGUACCAGGGCCAACCAGCUAGAAUAAAGUCAUUUCUAGUGUUAAAAUAAAGCACAGCAUAAUAGCAUAUUGUUUCCCUCUUCAAGUUAUAGCCCAGGGUUCAAGUCUUGGUUCUACUACUUUCUAUUUCUCUGGAAAACUACUUUCUCUAAACUCCAUUUUCCUUAUUUUAAAAAAUGAGAUAAAAAUUCACCUUUCAGAAUUCUUGUGAACAUUGAAUAAGAAAAUGAUAUAAAAUGCAACAAAGUAGGUGAUAAUUAGUGCUCAAUAAAUAUUAAUUCCCUUCCUCUACUUUGGUUGCAUUUGGGAGUGACAAAAACUUAACAAUUUGGAAGAUUUCAUGAAUGAAAAGACAAAGGCCAUCUACAUCUUACGUGGGUAAGAAUUCAGUGGAACACUGAAUCAGUAGAUGGAGGAUAACACAAAAUGAUGAUAAGUGGGUUAUCUGGAUAAGGAUUAUCACCAAGCUCUUAGGCAGGAGGACAUAGAGAUUGGUAUUUUCCCUAGAAGAGGAGCUUGUGAGGUAAGAUUACUUAACAAUUAAGAACAUAGACUGGGGAGCUGGACUGCCUGGUUUUUGAAUCCAAGUUCUAAGACAUAUUAGCUGUGUGAUCUUGGACAAGCUUAAGUUUUUUGUGUUCCCCUGUAAAAAGUAAAAAAUGUUAAUGGAAGCUCAAAGUGUGGUUUUAAGGGUUACAUGAGUUGAUAAAGUGCUUAGAUUGCCUGGGACAUGGUAAGCACAACUCAAGAAGGUCAGCCUGUAUGUGGUGUGGUGUGAUGUGGUAUGGUGGUGUGUGUGUGUGUGUGUGUGUGCGCGCGUGCAUGCAUGUGAACACAUCCGAGGUGAUAUAAUAAAUUACAUAUCAUUGUCAUUUCAGAGUAAGGCUCAGUCAUUUUUGAAUAAAUUAACUUGCCUUUUUCAUAAAGUCUAUGGGCUCUUGCAGAUAAUUUUAAACAUAGGGGCCUUGGCUGGGGAGAAUUACCUGACUAAUUCAGAAAAGAUAUGAUAUGAACAGAAUUGAUAGAACAAUGGCAUCAUCCCUUAAAGUGGUGCUUCUUAGAGUCUAGACUUUCGACCACUUGCAUCAGAAUCACGUUGGGACACUUGUUUAAAAUGAAGAUUCCCAGAUCCUGUUCCUAAGGUGACCAUAUACUUGAUUGUUCAAAUGUGGACAUUUCUGAGAGGGAAAGGAACUGCUAUAAAUAAUCAUGCCAAGCUAAUAAGCAUAAACUGUACUACACAUUCCUACAUAUCCCAGAUCUAUAGCACUUUUGAGAUUGAGUCUCAUAAAUCUGCAAUUCUUUUUUUAUCAUUUAUUUAUAUAUAUUUUUUUUCUACUGUAAAGCAUGGUGACCCAGUUACACAUAUAUGUAUACAUUCUUCUUUCUCACACUACGUGUUCCAUCAUAAGUGACUAGACAGAGUUCCCAGUGCUACACAGCAGGACCCCUUUGCUAAUCUAUUCCAAAGGCAACAUUCUGUAUCUAUUUAUCCCAAGCUCACUCUCAAGCAUAUAUCCAGACAAAACUCUACUCAAAAAAGACGCCUGCACCUGCAUGUUCACUGCAGCACUAUUCGCAAUAUCCAAGACAUGAAAUCAAUCCAAAUGUCCACUGAUAGAUGAUUAGAUUAGGAAGAUGUGGUGUAUAUACACAAUGGAAUACUACUUGGCUGUAAAAAAGAAAUCUGCAAUUCUAUUAAGUUUCCGUAAUGAUUCUUUUGCAGUGUAAAGUUUGAGAAAGGCUGUCUUAAUUAAGUUGUAUUGUUUUAACAAAAUUUAAUUAAUUCAGGGACUCAAUUUUAUCUCAUACUUCCAUUUCCUAAGGAAAUUUCUUUGUCAUAGAGAAGAAAAUAGAAGAGAAAGAAAGAGACCACUGAACAGUUUAUUGACCAUCUACUUUUUUUUUAUUGGCCAUACUUGCAACAUAUGGAAAUUCCUGGGCCAGGAAUUGAAUCCAAGAAUCUGCAGCAAUUUCAGAUCCUUUAACCCACUGUAACAGGCUGGAGAUUGAACCUAUGCCUCUGCAGUGACUCAAUCUACUGAAAUCAGGUUCUUAACCCACUGUGCCAUGGUGGGAACUCCUUGUCCAUCUACUAUUGCUAAAGCUUUCCCUUGCUUUAGCAUGACACUGUCUGCCUUAGUCUAUAAAAUUGGUUUACAGAUCUGUGUUUGUUCUUAAAAUUGAGUUAACCUCAUGUAAUUAUGGUAAGCCACAUUCCCCUAGUUAUGGAACCAGUGAAAAUUACUUAAGAGACUGAUCCUGGGAAGAAAGGAGGCAGUGAUUAGCUAACUACCCUGAAUAACAGGACAACAAGAACAAUUAAGCCAUCAUGUUCUCAUCCCUUAUACCAUUCAUCACCAGAAGUAUAAGCCUCCCAGCCAUCUAUCAGUGCAUGGAAUCAAUCACAGAGAGUUCUCAAAACUCAUAAUCUGACCUAACUUUUUGCCCCUUUUCAGCUCUCUCCCCAAACCCUUCAACUGUCUUCUAAAAUGAUUAGCCUCUCAUGAGCAAAUUUCCCUUUACUCUUAACUUUCUAUCUGUCUAUGCUCUUCUUAUACUUGCCCUAACUUAAAUGUAAAUAUCCCUUGAAAUCAAAGACCCCCCUGUAGCCCUCUCAGGGAAGGGCUCUCCCAUGGUCUACCCUCACCCAUGAAAACAUCCUGGAGGUAAGGGUAGGCUUCCUUCAUACUCUUCAUUUCCACACCAACUGCAUUUUUCUCCACCCACUUCAGUAAUUCAAGAAGAUUUGAAGCAUGUCGCCCAUCCCACACCAACUACAGACCAACUGGUCAUGUCUUCUUUCAUUAAAAAUAUUUAGAACUUGGAGUUUCCAUUGUGGUUCAGUUGUAAUGAAACCUGAAAAGUAUGCAUGAGGACAAAGGUUCAAUCCCUGGUCCCGCUCAGUAGGUUAAGGAUCUGGUGUUGCUGUGAGCUGUCAUGUAGUUCACAAAAGUGGCUUGGAUCUCAAGUUGCUGUGGCUGUGGUGUAGCUCCAAUUCGACCCCUAGCCUGGGAACUUCCAUAUGCCAUGGGUGUGGACUGAAAAAGCAAGCAAACAAACAAACAAAAAAAAUUAGAACUUGCUGUAUACCAGUAUCUUUGAUGAACAUUGAUGCAAACAUUCUCAAUAAGACUUUGGCCAACCAAAUCCAAUAACACAUAUACCAUGAACCACAGGGAUGGUUCAACAUAUGCAAAUCAAUCAAUGUCAUACACCACACUAAUGAAAGAAAAGUCAAUAACCACAUGAUCAUCUUAAUAGAUGCAGAAAAAGCAUUUGACAAAAUCCAACAUCCAUCAUAAGAAAAACUCUUACCAAAGUGGAUAUAGAGGGAAAUAACUCAACAUAAUAAAAACCACUUAUGACAAACCAAUAGCCAAUAUCAUACUCACCAGAGAAAAGCUGAAAGCCUUCCUGCUAAACUCUAGAGCUUGCUAAUUGUCUUUGAAUAGACUUGCAUUAUUGUUUGGUUCACCAUAAAUGUAGAUAAACCAACAUGAUGGACUGUCAAUUUCUUGUUCUUUUUAUUUCUAGUGAUCUUUCCCCUAACUUUAGUCAGCCACUGUCAUGGUGUUCACUAUGCAUUUUUAUCAUCGGCUCCAAAAUUUUGAUUUUAGUCAAUCCAGUCUCUGUUUCCAUUUCCUAUUCUUAUAAAAAAACUCACUCAUUCCAGUUAUUUGGCUGCCCUAACUCUAAUUGCCAGUGAAAUGGCCAACCCACUAAUCACCACUUCACUUUCUUUCAUCCUCCUUGUUUUGUUUUCAUUUUCUUUUUUACUGAGCUUAAACACCAUGAUUCAUCACAAGCAAUUCCUUAUGAACAGCAUCAACUCAAACUUGGUUUUUCUCCAACAUGUCAAGACCCUAGUUGGUAAAAUUCAACUUCUCUUAUUUAACUACCGUAUAUGAGCAGUUUAAAUAGAUGGAGAUAAACACCCAACUCUGAUGACCAAACCCACUCUAACUUGUGACCACACACUUAAAGUUGGAAUUUAGCACUGCCAGGAACUCUACACCAUUUUCCAAUCACAUUACUCUUUCUUUUAAGACGACUAUUUCACACCUUUUCCUCCUGAAAUACCCAGAAAGACCUAACCCUAUUGCAUUAUCAAUAGAUGACCUCAAUAUUCAAUUGAGAAAACAGAAGCAUUCUGAAUGGGGUAAGACUCACUUGCCUUCCAUCACAUCUGCCAACCUGCCUGCCCUGGAUGGAUAUACUUUAUCUUCCCUCCUGUUAAAAUUGAUGAACUAUUUUAUCUCAGUUCAAUCCCUGCACUUGUGCACUAGAGGCCAUUUCCUUUCACCUAUUAAAGGAUUUUACUUUGCACUUACCCUCUUUGCUCCUACAUCAACUUUCUCCUCUAUAGCAAAUCAUUUUAUCAGUAUAUUUACAUUUAAUAAUAUCUUGGUAUAAAAGUAAAAUUCCCCCUUGACAUGACAUUCUCUUCCAACUUCUUCCCCAUUUCGCUGAUCUUCCUCUCAACAAAACAAUCUAAAAGUGAUUUAUAUUUUCUGGCUAAAUUUCAUCAUCUGCCAUUCUCUCCUCAACCUGUUCCAAUCAGGACUUUGUACUAAUCGUUUCAGGAAAACCCCUCUUGUCAAUGAAUUUCACCUUGUUAAAUCCAAUAGUCAAUUAGGCGUGCCUAGCUCAUUCUACCUCUCAGCAGCAUUUGACACAAUAGAAAUACAUUUUCACUUGGGUGCCACGAUACAGAUUCCCUUAGUGUUCUUUCUACUUCACUGUCAGCUCGCUGUCUAUCUCUUUGCCAGAUUCUCUCUCUGACCUCUAAAUUUUGGAAUGCUUCAAAACUCAAACCUCAUCUCUAUUUUUUUCAUAAUUAUUUAUUCUCUCCCUAGAUUAUUUUGUCUAUACCCCUGGUUUUAAAUAUCAAAUAUAAACAUACAGAUGUAUGUAUGCAUUUAGUAAUAAAACAAUUUAAUAUCUGGGAUUUUCUCCAAACUAAUAUAAAAGAGAAGAAAGUGGUGGGGAUAUAGAUAAAGUAAGACUGGCCACGAGUUGAUAAUAAUUAGAACUAAGUAAUGGGUAAUCUGGAUUCAUUACAAUAUUCUGUUUUUUUGAGAUUUUCUAUAAUAAUAUAUAUUUUUAAAUACCACCCCAGAUUUUCUCCUCUAGCCCCCAAACCUUCCAAGUUCCAGAUAAAUGUAUUCAAUUUCCUAUUCCACAUCUCUCCUUGGAUUUCUUAAAGUCAUAAAGAUUAACAUAGCAAAAAUAGAAUUCUUAAUGUUCUUUGCUCUUUCUACAUGUCCAAAAUCUUAACAGUGGAAUUACUAUGGACCAUUGGCUAAGGCCCCAAACUUACAACCAUUAUUCAUAUGCCCUUAUUCUUUCACCAACUAUAGGCUAUUAAUGAAUAAGAAUUGUUUGGAGUUCCCACCAUGGCAAAGGGGGUUAAGGAUCUGGCAUUGUCUCUGUGGAAAUGCAGGUUUGUUUCCCAGCAAGGCGCAAUGGGUUAAGGAUUCGGUAUUUAGGUAGAUCAUAGGUAGCAUGAUCUGUAGCAUAGGUCACAGCUUCAGCUCAGAUUCGACCCCUGGCCCGGGAACUUCUAUAUGCUGCAAGUACAGCCAUUAAAAAAAUAAUAAUAAUAAGCCUUAUUGGUUUAUCUUCCAAAAUACAUGGAAUUUGUAUCAGUUCUCACCCUCUCCAGAGCUACUGCUCUCAUACAAGCUGUCAUCACUUUUCGCCUAAACUAUUUUAGGAGCCUGCUAACUCAUCUUGUUUUGUUCAUUCCUGCCCCCAAAGAACCUAUACUCCUAUGGUAGGCUGAUGACCUUUUAAGUCAGUUAAUA